rnacentral:rRNA from 1 species
AGAGUUUGAUCCUGGCUGAGAAUGAACGCUGGCGGCGUGCUUAACACAUGCCAGUCGAACGAGAAAGUGGGCUUCGGUCCAUGAGUAGAGUGGCGCACGGGUGAGUAACACGUGGGUAAUCUACCCCUCAAUUUGGGAUAACAUUGCGAAAGUGAUGCUAAUACCGAAUAACAUCCAUAAAGCUUUGGUUUAAUGGAUCAAAGGUGGCCAAUCCUUGGAAGCUACUGUUGGGGGAUGAGCCCGCGUACCAUUAGCUAGUUGGUAGGGUAAAGGCCUACCAAGGCGACGAUGGUUAGCUGGUCUGAGAGGAUGAUCAGCCACACUGGAACUGACACACGGUCCAGACUCCUACGGGAGGCAGCAGUGAGGAAUUUUGCGCAAUGGGGGAAACCCUGACGCAGCAACGCCGCGUGAGUGAUGAAGGCUUUCGGGUCGUAAAGCUCUGUCAAGUGGGAAGAACCUACUUAUGGUUAAUACCCAUGAGUACUGACGGUACCACUGAAGGAAGCACCGGCUAACUCCGUGCCAGCAGCCGCGGUAAUACGGGGGGUGCAAGCGUUAUUCGGAUUUACUGGGCGUAAAGCGCGCGCAGGCGGUUUUGUAAGUCAGAUGUGAAAGCCCUGGGCUCAACCCGGGAAGUGCAUCUGAUACUGCAAGACUUGAGUAUGGGAGAGGGAAGUGGAAUUCCUGGUGUAGAGGUGAAAUUCGUAGAUAUCAGGAGGAACAUCGGUGGCGAAGGCGACUUCCUGGACCAAUACUGACGCUGAGGCGCGAAGGCGUGGGGAGCAAACAGGAUUAGAUACCCUGGUAGUCC